UAGGCGGACAGCAAGAUCCCCGAUGGCCAGGCCGCGCAUGAAAAGACCCUCACCGCUUUAUUGGCCGCCCAGGGCGGCGCCAAUCUGAUCUACGGCGCGG
rnacentral:ncRNA from 1 species